GAGGGUAUAUCUCAGUGGUAGAGUAUGUGCCUAGCACGCAUGAGGUCCUGGGUUCAAUCCCCAGUACCUCCA
rnacentral:tRNA from 1 species